rnacentral:ncRNA from 1 species
GAAAAAGCGAAGAAAGAGAAAAGUAUGCUAUAGACUGUUUUAAAGAGAGCAAGUGCCUAAGGCUGAGAGUACUUGUAGAUAAGUGUAGCAGAAGUUCCCUCUGGAGCUGUAGGCUGAAAAAAAGCAGUAAGUCUUACCGAGUGGGCUCGUUAGCGCCUUUAAGUGAUAGGCUUACUUUAGGUGCCUAUUAUGAGGGUGGUACCGCGGAGCAAGCCUUCGUCCCUUUU